rnacentral:rRNA from 1 species
AGGACGAACGCUGGCGGCGUGCUUAACACAUGCAAGUCGAGCGGAAAGGCCCUUCGGGGUACUCGAGCGGCGAACGGGUGAGUAACACGUGAGCAACCUGCCCUUAGCUCCGGGAUAGCUCCGGGAAACCGGAAUUAAUACCGGAUAUGACCUAGGCCGACAUCGGCUGUGGGUGGAAAGUUUUUCGGCUGGGGAUGGACUCGCGGCCUAUCAGCUUGUUGGUGGGGUAAUGGCCUACCAAGGCGACGACGGGUAGCCGGCCUGAGAGGGCGACCGGCCACACUGGGACUGAGACACGGCCCCAGACUCCUACGGGAGGCAGCAGUGGGGAAUCUUGCGCAAUGGGCGAAAGCCUGACGCAGCGACGCCGCGUGGGGGAUGAAGGCCUUCGGGUUGUAAACCCCUUUCAGCAGGGACGAAGCGAAAGUGACGGUACCUGCAGAAGAAGCGCCGGCUAACUACGUGCCAGCAGCCGC